rnacentral:misc_RNA from 1 species
GAUGAAGAACGCAGCGAAACGCGAUAAGUAAUGUGAAUUGCAGAAUUUAGUGAAUCAUCGAACUUUUGAACGCACAUUGCGCCCGCCAGCACUCUGGCGGGCAUGCCUGUUCGAGCGUCAUUUCAACCAUCAAGCCCCAGGCUUGCGUUGGAGCCCUGCGGCUGCCGCAGCCUCCUAAAAGCAGUGGCGGGCUCGCUAUCACACCGAGUGCAGUAGAUUACUCUUCGCUCAGGGCGUGCAGCGGGUUCCGGCCGUGAAACCCCCUACUUUUAAAGGUUGACCUCGGAUCAGGUAGGAAUACCCGCUGAACUUAAGCAUAUCAAUAAGCGGAGGA